UUAUUUAUUGUAUACAAAAAUUUUACUUUGAUAAUUAAUCAAUUGAUCGUCUCUAGCUAAGUAGCAAAGAACUUGGUGGUUGAUAUUUGAGGUUUCAAGUUCGAAACUUAGUUGAUUCAUAUUUUUAACUAAGUUUAUUUUUAAAUAAAAUAAACGAAGCUGGUAACAUACUUAUCUAUUUCUCUCAACAAAAAAAUCAUCUUAAGGAUAGAAUUUAUUUUAUUUAAACUUAGCAUGGUACCCUACUAUAAUUCUACUCCAAUGCAAGAUCCAUAUAUAUAUAUAUAUAUAUAUAUAUAUAUAUAUAUAUAUAUAUAUAUAUAUAUAAAAUUCUACUCCAAUGCGAGACCCAAAUAUAUAUAUAUAUAUAUAUAGAGAGAGAGUUCGGCUAGAAUACUAUUAAUAGCACCAGGCACUUGGUGCUUACCGGAUUUUCCACCGUUAAAUUUAUUCUUUUGAUUAUUUUUAUCCGUUAAAUUGUACUAUUUAAUAAACCAUUCAUUCAGCUCUAAGGGACCACUAUCAUCCUAACCGCACAUUUCUUCGUGUAAGGAUAAAAAAUAAUAGCACCAAUAACUUAGUACUAUUACCGUCUGUCCCUAACGUAAGUGGCAA
rnacentral:lncRNA from 1 species